GCGGCAGUAGCUCAAUCGGAUAGAGCAUCUGGCUUCGGACCAGGGGGUUGGGGGUUCAAGUCCUCUCUGCCGCG
rnacentral:tRNA from 1 species